ensembl:lncRNA
AGGAAAUCUAAUUAGCAUAAUACAAAAAUCCCCACCAAAAUCCAUCUGUUUAAAAUAGUGAUGUCUGUUUGAAAUAGAGAUAUCUGCUUGAAAUAGAGAUGUCUGUUUGAAAUAGAGAUAUCUGUCAAUUGCAGACUCCCCGAGCUACAGCGGUGUUUGUCAGAACAUGAGACGUCCAAAAAAUUCUCAUGAAAAUGUCUGUAGUGUCAGAACGAUUUGGCCAACAAACUAAUAUGACCACUCCAUGGAAAAGAUGAUUCUCACGAACAUGAUGGUGUUCUCUGUUUUGCUCUACGAAACCCACAAGCGUUACGGGACUCGUCUGAAGUCGGUACAGCCGAUCUUCCAACUCCUGUCUGUAGCGUCCGUUGCACACUAAUAUGACACCUCCAUUGAAAGGCGAGAUGCCCACAAGUCUCACAAGACUCGUCUGAAUGUAGCCCGGUACCAGUUUUAAAAAAUUACGGAAGUACUGUAUAUAUAUGGAAAUAGUUGAGUGACAAUUUUUUGUUUGUUAAAUGUGGGUCUUUCUUAUAUCUCCUAGAUGUAGGAUAGACACUGCUACUAGCAGUAUGUGUGUGUAGCCUUGCAUUUAUAACCCUGGUCCAUCUAAAGUCUUCUAAUUCCAUAGAACCUGCUCCUGUCCUGCAUUGGGGAGGAUGCGGUUGUCCAUGUGAUGACCACAGAGGUGGACUUUGGCACCAUAUCGGUUCUGACCGAUGUCUCCAGAACAUCGCAGCUCUCAAACCAGUCCCUGAUACCAGCCCGCUUUGUGGCACAAAUGGUGGUGUUGAGAGAGGCUGGUGUGUCACGCCAUGCUAGGUCACCAGAGUGGGAAGGAGCUCAGCACCUGUCUUGGACAUCUCCUCCCAGCAGCUCAGCUUCUUAGUGGAGAAGUUGUUUGACCAUCUGGCCGAGGUAAAAAUCAUCAUGAGGAACACAAGGAAGGUGGGCUUUGAGUUCAGUGCUCUGUUGGGGGACCAGGAUGAGUGUGGGGACUCUCGGCCUGGACAUCCCCUGGUCAUCCCUAGAACGGUGAGACAGCCCACAGUAUAGAGGAUAUACAGGGCUUUCUGUACCAAUCCUCUCUACCAGCACCCCAUGUUUAGUAUUUAGCGUAACUACAUACACACAUCUAGUGGUUUUACUGUAGCUAUUUAGGGUGUUUUUCCUGUAACCAUUUACCUGUCUCUCAUUACUCAAAGUGCUACACCGAGGCGAAGGCUGAGCGGAAGCUGUCAUUGUACUAUCUCCCUGGGAUCCCUUAGGUUUUCCACAAGACUGCAGGAGGCUUUGUGUGAGCCAGAGAGCAUCACUCUCAGAGGAGAGGGCAUUUUCCCCAGGAUGUGUCUGGACCCAGUGCUCUGUAUGUGCCUUUGUUCGUUGUGGAGUUCUAUCUCCAUACUGUGAAACAGUUUUGUUACAGUACGUUACUCUCUAUUCUUGCCUUGUGUAGAUGGUGAAGGAGUCCACGGAGGCCCUGGAGGAGGACAGGAGAGAUAAAGGCACCACUCGGCCAACCACUGGAGAGGGCCUCCUGUCUGACGAGGACUACAUCCCUACAGUCAGUAUAGUCAACUCUAUCACUAAUCUAUUUUCCCGUGAUUCGUGUACAUAGAUCGC